GACACCCUGUCAUUACGCCACUGCAACCACAAGGCAAUGAACGGGUAGUCUGCAAAAAUUCAUCCUCGUCUUCAAGGCCUUUUUGAAUCGACGGCGACUCUCGUCGAGUGUUGAGUGGGGUUGAGUGACAUCCAGAAUCCAGUGGCAGUAAUGACAGUGACAUUUUGUGACAUCCUUGCCUCCAGGUUUCGGCCGCGGCGCGCCGCUGGCGCUUCGGAGUUCGGCUCAGUGGUUCGACCUCGCGGCUUGCAAAUAGAAUGGCGGUUGUUUUUCUUCAGCAAAUGUGAAAUGUAAAGAAAUAUUUCCAGUACUAUUUGGUAUAUGUUUAAGCCAAAAAUCUCAAGUUAUGCUUUAGUUGCUGGUUUAUUGCCAGAUUGACUGUUAUGCAACAUGCUCAUACCUCUACUGCAAGAUUGACUGACUGUUUCACAGCACAUUUGCAUACUUCUACA